rnacentral:rRNA from 1 species
UUUUGUUUGGAGAGUUUGAUCCUGGCUCAGGACGAACGCUGGCGGCGUGCUUAACACAUGCAAGUCGAACGGUGAAGGGGCCUGCUUUUGUGGGUCCUGGAUGAGUGGCGAACGGGUGAGUAACACGUGAGUAACCUGCCCCCUUCUUCUGGAUAACCGCAUGAAAGUGUGGCUAAUACGGGAUAUUCUGCGCCUGCUGCAUGGUGGGUGUGGGAAAGAUUGCGCCUUUGGGUGUUUUUGGUGGGGGAUGGGCUCGCGGCCUAUCAGCUUGUUGGUGGGGUGAUGGCCUACCAAGGCGGUGACGGGUAGCCGGCCUGAGAGGGUGGACGGUCACACUGGGACUGAGACACGGCCCAGACUCCUACGGGAGGCAGCAGUGGGGAAUAUUGCACAAUGGGCGCAAGCCUGAUGCAGCGACGCCGCGUGAGGGAUGGAGGCCUUCGGGUUGUGAACCUCUUUCGCCAGUGAAGCAGGCCUGCUCCUUUGUGGGUGGGUUGACGGUAGCUGGAUAAGAAGCGCCGGCUAACUACGUGCCAGCAGCCGCGGUAAUACGUAGGGCGCGAGCGUUGUCCGGAAUUAUUGGGCGUAAAGAGCUCGUAGGCGGCUGGUCGCGUCUGUCGUGAAAUCCUCUGGCUUAACUGGGGGCUUGCGGUGGGUACGGGCCGGCUUGAGUGCGGUAGGGGAGACUGGAACUCCUGGUGUAGCGGUGGAAUGCGCAGAUAUCAGGAAGAACACCGGUGGCGAAGGCGGGUCUCUGGGCCGUUACUGACGCUGAGGAGCGAAAGCGUGGGGAGCGAACAGGAUUAGAUACCCUGGUAGUCCACGCCGUAAACGUUGGGCACUAGGUGUGGGGGGCCUUUUCCGGGUCUUCCGCGCCGUAGCUAACGCAUUAAGUGCCCCGCCUGGGGAGUACGGCCGCAAGGCUAAAACUCAAAGGAAUUGACGGGGGCCCGCACAAGCGGCGGAGCAUGCGGAUUAAUUCGAUGCAACGCGAAGAACCUUACCAAGGCUUGACAUGUGCCGGUCGGCUCCGGAGACGGGGUUUCCUCCUUGUGGGGCCGGUUCACAGGUGGUGCAUGGUUGUCGUCAGCUCGUGUCGUGAGAUGUUGGGUUAAGUCCCGCAACGAGCGCAACCCUUGUCCCGUGUUGCCAGCACGUUGUGGUGGGGACUCGCGGGAGACUGCCGGGGUCAACUCGGAGGAAGGUGGGGAUGACGUCAAAUCAUCAUGCCCCUUAUGUCUUGGGCUUCACGCAUGCUACAAUGGCCGGUACAGAGGGCUGCGAUACCGUGAGGUGGAGCGAAUCCCUUAAAGCCGGUCUCAGUUCGGAUCGGUGUCUGCAACUCGACACCGUGAAGUUGGAGUCGCUAGUAAUCGCAGAUCAGCAACGCUGCGGUGAAUACGUUCUCGGGCCUUGUACACACCGCCCGUCACGUCAUGAAAGUCGGCAACACCCGAAGCCCGUGGCCCUACGGGGAGCGGUCGAAGGUGGGGCUGGUGAUUGGGACGAAGUCGUAACAAGGUAGCCGUACCGGAAGGUGCGGCUGGAUCACCUCCUUUCUAAGGA